GUUCAGGUGCCACUCUCUGGCUGCCCCAGCACUGCCAAAGGUGACGUGAACUUUUUUUUUAAAUACCUCCACAGAGAAUUUUUACGGCUGCACUGAGCUCCAAAGGUUGGAGCAGAGAAAUAUGAACCCAUGACCUCCGCAGCUGAAACCCUGGGACUCCACAGGAGCUCUGCAGUUUGUUUACUCUGAGGCAGGAUUUGCUGCCAGAAUCCAGACCACUGGCUUUACUGAAGUUAUGAUGGACAGAGAACGAGGAAGCUCGCUUUGUGAAGAAAUCUAAUGGCCGCUGUUCCCUCUUCAUGUCACUUCACUGACUUCUGGGCAACCGCAGCAGCACUGAAGCCCACUCCAAUGGGAGUCUUCUAAGCAGUGUAAAAUACAACACCUGGACAUUAUGAUGGAAGAUCAAUGACCUGUUGCAGAUUAUGCCGGCUACUGUGAUCCCAAUGGCUUUCCUGUGCUCAUCCUCACUGUGACUGGCUGGAAAUGUCAGCAAACCACAUGGAACGGUUGCAAAUCACUCUGUCCUCAAAGACCGAGAACAACUGCAGCUUGUAAAAUGCAACAAUAAGGACACCAUUGGUAUCUGUUCCAGCUCGUUCAUAUGUCAACAACGACAUCACACAGGAAGGUGUCCUGAACACCUAGCAAAAGGUUUCCAUAUAGUUUUGGGGAGGAAUGUGGCUUUUCAGGAAGCACAGUAUCCUGUCUGGCUGUUGGUAUGCUCACCACCUGAUUCCAGCACACUCCAAACAGCAGUCUUUUUACACAAGUGGAAUGUGCUGCAGCUUAAAUGCCGGGAAAAAAAAUAAGCAAGAAGGGCCGCUCUAUUAAUUGGUGGGUCAGCACACUAUUUGCUUAAGUGUUAGCAUUGAAUCAAGCUCUUCCUGUUGCAGCCCGGCAGAGAGGCACGGUGCUGUGUGUCUGUGCCCUUCAAGACUAACAAAAUGAGGACUCAUAGAGACACCACAGUCCUCUGAGUCCUCUGUGCUACAGCCUUCAGCCAUUUGUGAGGGUGGCAGGAGCCAGGGCAGGAUUGUGAAAGGAACUUAAGUCUGCCUUACCCUGUAGGGUAACCAACGGUUAUAGCAUGUGUCCAAAAAUGGUCCCUCCAGUCAACAGUUCUGUGAUUCUAUGGUGUGAUUUCAGCAGUAACACCAAGUGAUUCCACCACCUUUGCAUUUGGUAAUGGUGCAUCUGGAGGUGUGUAACUUCUGAGCCCACCAUUCAGAGCAUGCUGAUAGACUGGAAAACAUUCAAAGAGCCAUGAGAUGACUCAAAAGGUUGCAAAAUAGCUUUCAGGCAGAAGUAAUCAAGACUGCAACUUACUCUUCCCGUUACAGUGUCCUUAUAUUCUGUUGAAGCAGAAAUACUGGGAAUAAAACUGAUCUUAGGAUUUUCAUUCUGGCAGAUGAGAGAUAUGAAUGAGAUCUGGUGGCUGUGGCCUGAUGUGAAAAUUUCUAAUAACUGGAGCAAUGUAUUAAGGUAAUCAGCUCCUCACUACUGACUACCUCUGAAACAAGACUGGACUCCUUUCUCAAACACAUAUUCAGUUCAAACUACAUUGAUCUGGAAUUGAUUUUUAUUACUAGAGUCUGUGUUAUAUGGAGGAGUAGAAGUGAUGACAUAUUAGAUUCUCUCCUUAGGUUUCUAGAAAACGAGGAAUCUCCCUAGAAACUUGGGAAACCUCUGAUUCCCCUUUAUACAAAUAUUUAUUGACUUUAAGACACAUUUUGCCAGCUGUGCCCAACUGAUGUGAAACUUGCAGCUCCACUACAAGUUGUGUCUCCCAAGAAGGUGGCUCAUUGCUGAAGCUUUGCAGUUUUUUUCCUAUCUAACUCAACCUGCAUUUUUGGAAUUGAACAAACUUAUUUAGGGAAAGUUCACGGGUAACACUUGAUGUGUAAUUUCAUACAACAGCUCGCUGUAAACCCUCUGCUUGUGUUGAUUCAGUAACCAAGGAACCCCCAAGAUACGUUUCUUAAAAACCAAUUAAAAACCCCCUCCAAACAGCCUAGAAAUGAAUAAUCUCAGGUUGCACACAAAACCAACCUGGCCUUUUAUCUUCCUAAUAAGCAUAGCGAUAUAAACACAACUAUAGGCAUUGUUUUCUAAUUAGGAGAAUGUACCAUGGGAUGUUUACAGACCCCUAUGGAAAUGCAUGGACAUUUGGUUGCUUAGCAAAUGACAGAACCUGAAAGCCGUCUCAGCUAAGGCAUUUACAAUUAGUCUGGCAGGAGUGGAAAUAAAAACUCUAGAAGCGAACAUAAGGAACAGUGACCCAAGAAAGGCCAAGGCAGUGCUAAGGAAAGGCAGAGGUAUGCCUUACCAACAAUUUUUAUUUGAAUAUUAGCUUACCACAACUUUGUGUUUGUGAACCGCUGAGUUCAGACUGCUGUUGAGAAGGACUUGGAGGGAGCACCCACACAUGGAAGCUGCUGUGUGGCCUGGUCUGCCAGGGCCACGUUCUCCAUGUUUUAUACUUGGCAGACACUGGGAGCUUCAAUCCUUCAGGGCUGGAUAUAGCUGAGCAGGCACUGUUUAUAAGAGAACAGAGUGAAAAAAAAUCAGUGAGAGACUCAUUUGCCAUGUGGAGGUGAGACCAAAGAGGUAUGCAUGUGGCAUGGCACCUACAGAAUGUGUUUCCUGAUGGCUGGGUGGCAGAAGGCUUUGGCCAGCUGGAUUUAUAGGUCUGCAUCAUUUGUGACUGUGGCCUCAGACUCUGAAAGAACCUCCUGGGGUCUCUGAGAUGCAGCUGUGUAUGAGAACCAGUUCAUACUAAUCCCUCAACCCCGUCUUUGCUGCGAGCCAUGGAAAGCAAGUUCCUGUGCUGCUGGCUUUUGUGUUUUAAUAAACAAAGGAAUCUAAAUGGCCAAUUUAAUGCUUACUGCCAUUGUGGUUAGCUCCAAACUACACUCUACAUAGUCCUGUUUUGUAAGUGUCACAAGGAAACUGUUCCCUUUUGGUACACAGCAGUUCUGCUU
ensembl:lncRNA